rnacentral:rRNA from 1 species
UACGUAGGGGGCAAGCGUUGUCCGGAUUUAUUGGGCGUAAAGAGCGUGUAGGCGGCCAGACAGGUCAGCUGUGAAAACUCGAGGCUCAACCUCGAGACGUCGGUUGAAACCGUCUGGCUAGAGUCCGGAAGAGGAGAGUGGAAUUCCCGGUGUAGCGGUGAAAUGCGCAGAUAUCGGGAAGAACACCCGUGGCGAAGGCGGCUCUCUGGGACGGUACUGGACGCUGAGA